UUUGUACUUCCUCCGUCCCAAAAUUCUUGUCUUAAAUUUGUCUAAAUAUGAAUGUAUCUAGUUACAUUUUAGUGUUAGAUACAUCCGUAUCUAAACAAAUGUAAGACAAGAAUUUUGGGACGGAGGGAACACUAC
rfam:Triticum aestivum genome assembly, contig: Triticum_aestivum_CS42_TGACv1_scaffold_569377_7AS